rnacentral:piRNA from 1 species
UGAGCUCUGUCCACAGAGAGUGCUGCCAUGC